ACACAUCACUGCAUCUGUUGAUCUCUCAUAUUUAAAGACACCUGUUUUCAUCAGUGAUGCUGCUCUAUCUGCUGCCUCUGUAUGGUUCCCAGACGCUAACACAAUUAUACUACUAAGCAGUAAACCUAAUAAGUCAAGAAUUUGCUCCUAAUCAGAAAAAUGAAAUUGCUACAGAAGCUUCCUAAAUUUAGUUGGGAAACUAAAGCCAUCCUUUUGAUAAACAGUUUGUAGAAGACUGUCAGAAGCCUGCAAAGAGAGGUUCCCUCCAUAGCAAGUUCACCUGCUGGGAUAUUCAGAUCCUUCACUGAAGUUAACGUGAGUGACUUUUCCUUGCAUUUCACAAUAUUGUCACUUACAUGAAGUUUUACAUUCUGCCCAAGCUGUGCUCAAGAUAACCAUUCCAUAAGUGGGUUCACUUUCAUUAACAUUAUCUGUAGCACUCACACAGGAUGAUGAGCUGCAAAGAUAAGUCAGAGUGGCAGACACCUCCCACAGACUCCAAUGGCUUUUCCCAUGAGGUCCCUUGCAUCCUGCUGACGUCUCAAUCUGUUUCUCCCCAAGGGUCAUGAAAUCAAUUUCUUGCCAGGAACUUUGUCAGUCUCGUUCUACUGCUUGACUUUCAAAUUUAGUGUGAAAACUGUUUUAGAUGAGAUGGCAUGACCAUAACUGCUUCUGAUUCUGGGAUCUGGUCAAGCACAAACAGAUGAUGCCUUGAAGAGCAAAACACCUCUACUGGAUUAGUGAGCUUUUGUGUGCAGAAUCAAUUGACACAGAGCAGUGGAAUGAAGGCCUCAUACCAAGGCAAAGGGGUGAAGUCUCUCCUUUUUUGCUUGGAACAUCUGCAGAAAUCCUGACAGCAUGGUUUAUUAUGCAAGGAAACAAAUUGAGUUCCCUUUGCCAUAGAAAACUGUGUGGCUUUGUGAUGCCUCUGGGAUCAGAUUUUUAAGGAUAUACAGGACUGCAACAGAUCUUGCAGCCCACGGGAGACAAAACAUAUCAUUUCUCCAAGAGAAAAUUGAAAGACCAAUUUCCAAGCAGAGAUUUUUUUUCAUGGGUUUGGCCACUGAGUAACUAAAAGGAGCAUCAAAUGUUCCAGUCUAAAUGCUAUUCUGGUUGUUUCCUCCAGAUAGACAGCUGGUACCAUUCAGUCCACUAAACCUAUGUAACCUCUAACUACUGCUCAUUACAUAUUUAUACACUGAAAUUCUAAAUUUUCUUUCCAUCUUUUCAGUACUCGGCUUCUAGUAAGAAAAAAUUAUUUAACUCAGAA